ensembl:lncRNA
UAAAUGUAACUUGCCCAUAAAAAUGUGUUAAUUUUUUUUUUUUUUAUUGUAACAUAUUUUAAAAUGUAAUUUAGUCCUCUGAUUGCAAGGUUGAAAUUUUAUUCUGAUAUGCUGAAUUAGUGCUCAAGAAACAUUUCAGUUACAUUAAAGUUGUGCUGCUUUAAUUUAGCUUACUACAUUUUUUCAGGAUUCAUUGAUAUAGAAAGUUUUCAAAGCAACAUUAUUAAUUUGAAAUAGAAACCUUUUGUUACAUUAUAGAUGUCAUUACUGUCAGUUUUUAAUCAAUUGAAUGUGUCCUUGCUAAAUAAAAGAAGUCGUAUGUACAGUAUGUAGUGUUUAUUUGAACAAAUAUAAUACAGUUCAUCAAAACUGAUCACACACUAAUACUCAUUCAUGUAAUUUGAGUGAAACUGGCAGGCUUUGUCUAUUUUGCUUUUGGUAUUACAUUUGUUUACUUAGUCUAUUAUAAUAUACUCUUAUAGUCCUUAGUUUUUUUUCUUUUAGAGCUGUUUGAUCUUUAAUGGAGGAUGCGGUCAAUGGAAAUGCACUUAGAUCCUCUUGUCUCCCCCAGAAUUUACUGCAUCUUACUCUUUAAAACACAGAUUUGUUGCUGUGGUUAUUGAGGAGGUAGAAGUGAAAGCCCUGAAGUACAGUAAUUCUCUCUUCUAAAGAAAGGAUUUUCUGCUGUCACAAAUUUUAAACUGUGGUUGUGAAAUUUCUAUUGGUUUUGUCAUUUAUUGUGCUACUACAGUAUAGCAUGAUUGAUUCAGUUAUCAAAAAAGAGGUUCUUCAGGGUGGUCUUAUAAACUGUUUUACCCCUUUUAAAUUGCAAUUGUGUUUAAAAAACUAUCUGACAUUUGUGGAAAAGGCUCAAGAGACAUCCUGUACAAAUUACUUUUCAGGUCACUGGAGAGUCUCAGACUCUAAUAUUUAAGAAACUUGUGCUGCCACAAAGAGGAUAUGUGUGAGGUUUUGCAGUGUGUGUUCAACUGAGGAUUGUUUUUUAAAAGAGUUUUGCUGCAUUAAAGCACCAAAGAAAAAAUACAUUUGCAAACUUGCACAACCUCAAAUUAGCAUUAAAAUGCAUUUGUGACUUGGACAACAUAUAAAUAGUAAUCUAUUAAAACAUGUUCAUUUUAUAUCAUUUGGAUGUUUCGCUUGUCUCAGUGUUUACAGAAGCAUUAUUUGAAGAAUAAGGUUCCUGUAUCCAUCUUUGCCAUAUUUACAAUGGACCUCACAGAUGGCCGUGCUCCCAGAUUUGAAAAGGUUUCUUUGGAAACCAAAUACAACAUUACGGUUGGAACCCAAACUGCUUUAAAGCCAAUGCUAUUAGAUGGCUUACACAAACUGACCCCAGAGCAGGUCUGAAGAUGAGCUGACUGGGGUUUUCUGCUACAGGAGGACACUGAAGACAUUCUUUUUUUUUAACUUUUUUUUUCUGUGUGUGAGUAAAUAGAUGGACAGGAUAGUGAGGACCACUGAAGCACUGGUCAUAUAAAUGAUGGAUUAUGAUGCUUGGACAGAGUUGAAUAUUUAAGAUGGUCCUUUUCUUUUUCUUUUUCCUCACUGCACGAAAGCAUGUGAAUGAAGUGGAGCACCAAGCAAUUUUGCCUCCCCUCCCAAUGUGUUGUGUAAUCUGUCCACUCUGGGUUUUCCAUUUCCUGUUCCUUCACUGGUAAAAAAAAAAAAUCCCUCUCAAAGUUCACUCCGUAAUAAAAUUUACAUCCAGUUACGGCUGUGUUGAAAAGUUCUAUAUAUAGAGAUACAAAUUUUGAAGUCAGUAAGUUUGUUUUUCUUUAAAGAAAUCAAUGCUGUUAAUGCUACUCAGCAAACGGCACAUUAAAUAGAUGAUAAAAGUGACAGUAAAAUUUUGUACAUGUUUACAGAAGAUUUCUAUUUUAAAUAAAUUAGCAUAGUUUACACAGAAAUAUUAAGAAUCUACAUUGAAGAUAAUAAGAAAUGUUUCAGCAUAUUAGAAUGAUUUCUGAGGGAUCAUGUGACACUGAAGACUGGAGU